rnacentral:rRNA from 1 species
UACGGAGGGUGCAAGCGUUAAUCGGAAUUACUGGGCGUAAAGCGUGCGCAGGCGGUUUGGUAAGUCCGUUGUGAAAGCCCCGAGCUCAACUUGGGAAUUGCAGUGGAUACUGGCAGGCUGGAGUACGGUAGAGGAAGGUGGAAUUCCCGGUGUAGCAGUGAAAUGCGCAGAUAUCAGGAGGAACACCGGUGGCGAAGGCGGGUCUCUGGGCCGAUACUGACGCUGAGGAGCGAAAGCGUGGGGAGCGAACAGG